rnacentral:lncRNA from 1 species
CAGAAAUUUGAGUGAGAAGCAUGUGAAGAGAGGGAUGGCCCAGGGGCCCUUGGCCAUGGUGGCCUUGGACAAGUUUGGCUUUCCCCAUCUGUAAAAUGUAGAUAAGGAUGGACCCACCUCCCCAAGAUCCUGCCUAUCUGUGAGAGUCCAUGACUAAGUGGGCCAUGGGCUGGACUGAGUUCAGUGCUCCCCCAACCUGCCCUCCUCCUCUCCCCCACAGAGCUUCCCAAUUUACAUGUAAACCUUGGGCAUCAAAGUGACAGCUGAUAGCCCAGGUUUGCCCACAAAUGUGCUCUGACUGGCGUGCAUGUUAUUAAAUUUGAUAAGAUGCAUGAUGGCAGCUAUUAGAGUUUUGACUCUGUUCUUUACCAGUAGUGUGACCUUCGGCAAGUCACUUAACGUAGCUGUGCCAAAGCAUCCUCAUAUGUAAAAUGGAGGUAGUGAUAGG